rnacentral:lncRNA from 15 species
GAAGGAGAGUGUGACCAAGCAGCAGAGAGCAGCUGCAGAAAGAGAACCAGUUUUGACCUUCGCCUUGACUGAUUUGAGCCAAAGACCAAAAGCCACACAGGUAAGGAGUAAUGAACUGUGUGUAACACCACCCUCUCACCUGCUCUAA